UUUGAUCCUGGYUCAGGAUGAACGCUAGCGGGAGGCCUAACACAUGCAAGUCSAACGGGAUUGGGAGCUUGCUCCCAUGAGAGUGGCGCACGGGUGAGUAACGCGUAUGCAACCUGCCUUUAACAGAGGGAUAGCCCAUAGAAAUGUGGAUUAAUACCUCAUAGUUCUGAGAAGUCGCAUGAUUUUUCAGAUAAAGCUCCGGCGGUUAAAGAUGGGCAUGCGUGACAUUAGCUAGUUGGUGAGGUAACGGCUCACCAAGGCUACGAUGUCUAGGGGUUCUGAGAGGAUGAUCCCCCACACUGGUACUGAGACACGGACCAGACUCCUACGGGAGGCAGCAGUGAGGAAUAUUGGUCAAUGGGCGCAAGCCUGAACCAGCCAUCCCGCGUGAAGGAUGAAGGCCCUAUGGGUCGUAAACUUCUUUUAUACACCAAGAAAAAUUCCGACGUGUCGGGACUCGACGGUAGUGUAUGAAUAAGCAUCGGCUAACUCCGUGCCAGCAGCCGCGGUAAUACGGAGGAUGCAAGCGUUAUCCGGAUUCAUUGGGUUUAAAGGGUGCGUAGGCGGCUUUUUAAGUCAGUGGUGAAAUCUUGCCGCUUAACGGUAAAAUUGCCAUUGAUACUGAAAAGCUUGAGUACAAUUGAGGUAAGCGGAAUGUGUAGUGUAGCGGUGAAAUGCUUAGAUAUUACGCAGAACACCAAUUGCGAAGGCAGCUUACUAAACUGUUACUGACGCUGAUGCACGAAAGCGUGGGGAGCGAACAGGAUUAGAUACCCUGGUAGUCCACGCCGUAAACGAUGCUCACUCGCUGUUUGCGAUACACAGCAGGCGGCCMAGCGAAAGCAUUAAGUGAGCCACCUGGGGAGUACGAUCGCAAGGUUGAAACUCAAAGGAAUUGACGGGGGGCYCYGCMCGAGCGGAGGAACAUGGUGGUUUAAUUUCGAUGA
rnacentral:rRNA from 1 species